rnacentral:rRNA from 1 species
AUACAGAGGGUGCAAGCGUUAAUCGGAUUUACUGGGCGUAAAGCGCGCGUAGGUGGCUAAUUAAGUCAAAUGUGAAAUCCCCGAGCUUAACUUGGGAAUUGCAUUCGAUACUGGUUAGCUAGAGUAUGGGAGAGGAUGGUAGAAUUCCAGGUGUAGCGGUGAAAUGCGUAGAGAUCUGGAGGAAUACCGAUGGCGAAGGCAGCCAUCUGGCCUAAUACUGACACUGAGGUGCGAAAGCAUGGGGAGAAAACAGGAUUAGAUACCCUGGUAGUCCAUGCCGUAAACGAUGUCUACUAGCCGUUGGGGCCCUUGAGGCUCUAGUGGCGCAGCUAACGCGAUAAGUAGACCGCCUGGGGAGUACGGUCGCAAGACUAAAACUCAAAUGAAUUGACGGGG